AAAAACUAGCAGUAGAUCUAAAGAAAGAUGGAGAGAUAAGAAAUUACAGAGCCAGUCGCCAUUGUAGAAAUGCUUUCCUUUAGCCCAGACAGUGUAAUUGACAUUAGUGGUCCAACCAACGCCUCCCCCUCCCACAAUAAACCUUGUAGCAUCGGCCUCUGGAACCAUUAACACUAAAGCUAAUCCCAGAGCUGCCAUUGCCAUCGUCAUCACUUUGCUUCUCUCCAUUGCUGAGUUUGUUUUCUUUUGGUUUGCUUUGCAUGAUG